CGGGUGCACUGAUCCGGCUGGGCCUUUCCCUCUGUGGAACCCCAUGGCCUUCACUGGCUGUGCGGGGGAAACAGGACUUUUACUGUGAAAAAAUUAGAGUGCUCCAGGCAGGCCUAUGCUCGAAUACAUUAGCAUGGAAUAAUAGAAUAGGACGCGUGGUUCUAUUUUGUUGGUUUCUAGGACCGCCGUAAUGAUUAAUAGGGACAGUCGGGGGCAUCAGUAUUCAAUUGUCAGAGGUGAAAUUCUUGGAUCUAUUGAAGACUAACUACUGCGAAAGCAUUUGCCAAGGAUGUUUUCAUUGAUAAGGAACGAAAGUUAGGGGAUCGAAGACGAUCAGAUACCGUCGUAGUCUUAACUAUAAACUAUGCCGACUAGGGAUCGGACGAUGUUAUUUCUUGACGCGUUCGGCACCUUUCGAGAAAUCAAAGUGCUUGGGCUCCAGGGGGAGUAUGGUCGCAAGGCUGAAACUUAAAGAAAUUGACGGAAGGGCACCACCAGGGGUGGAACCUGCGGCUUAAUUUGACUCAACACGGGGAAACUCACCAGGUCCAGACACAGUGAGGAUUGACAGAUUGAGAGCUCUUUCUUGAUUCUGUGGGUGGUGGUGCAUGGCCGUUCUUAGUUGGUGGAGUGAUUUGUCUGCUUAAUUGCGAUAACGAACGAGACCUUAACCUGCUAAAUAGCCCGUACUGCUCUGGCAGUUCGCCGGCUUCUUAGAGGGACUAUCGG
rnacentral:rRNA from 1 species